rnacentral:SRP_RNA from 1 species
CCGUGCAGCUGGGGAGAUAGCGGUGCCCUGUACCUGCAAUCCGCUUUAGCAGGGGUGAUGUUUGGCCUAGGGUAUUGUCUUGUAGGGCAGCCCUUUAUAAGUGGCGUUGACGUUUGGGUCUUACGCAAUAGAAAUUUAUGAAUCGUGUCAGGUCAGGAAUGAAGCAGCACUAAAUAAAACCUUCUAUGUGCCGUAAGGCUACCUAGACUGAGCAAACUGUAAAGGUAACGCUUAUGAGCGAAAUUCGAAGCCAAGCGCACGG